GACCCAAUUUGAUCAGUUAGGCAGUUAGGCAGUUACUGCCCAAAUGACCAUAUUACCCCCAUAAGAACCCCUAUAAAUAGAGGGCACCCCCCACUCAUUAAAGGCAAGUCAUUUGGAGAAGAAGAAUUCCUAGCGAAGCAGAGCUCUGCACACUUGAGUUCCGGUCCGGUUUCCCGCGGAGUUCCCGCUUGGCGCUUGCUUGCGCGUCUUGGAGUACUGGUCGGGUUUCACCCCCAUCAGUUGGCGCCGUCUGUGACUCAAAGAUACUCACGACAAAAAGCUCCUCGACUUUUUCAAAAAAAGUGAUCGACUUUUUUCCAAGUCGCCAGCUAGGGAGUCUUGCGAGGAAAUCAGCC
rnacentral:lncRNA from 1 species